rnacentral:rRNA from 1 species
UACGAAGGGUGCAAGCAUUAAUCGGAUUUAUUGGGCGUAAAGGGCGCGUAGGCUGGAGCGAAAGUCAGAUGUGAAAUCCCGGGGCUCAACCCCGGAACUGCAUUUGAAACUGUGUUUCUAGAGGGUAGGCGGAGAAAACGGAAUUCCACAAGUAGCGGUGAAAUGCGUAGAUAUGUGGAAGAACACCAGUGGCGAAGGCGGUUUUCUAGCAUAUACCUGACGCUGAUGCGCGAAAGCAAGGGGAGCAAACAGG